CUUAGUUUAGAACCUCUUACUCCUAUCUGUCGAUUCAUGAAGAAAAGAAGGACGCGGAUAGGAGGAGAAUAUCGGGGUAUUCGAGUCCAAGCCGUCCCUUCAGCAGACUCUCUUUCUGUGCCUACCGAUGGGAACGAAGAAGGCUCGGUUGCAUCAUCUCCCCGGAAAAGAGACCUAGGUUAACAAAUUCCGAUUGCUACGAUGAAUUAAGUCAGCAAGAAAAUGAUUUCCUUGUCGAACUUUCCAGCCCAGAAAUAUCUAUGCAUUCUGAAGAUGAGGCUAUUACUUCCGGCCAUGAACUCUUUGGUUGCGUCACCGUAGCAUCCCCCCAGAAGAAAAAACCUAGGUUGUCCAAUUCCGAAAGCUGUCACCUACUAAAUCAGCAUGAAAAUGAUUUAGUAGUCCAACUUUCCGGUACGGACUUAUCUAUGGAUUCUGGGGUUGAGGCUGUCGCUCUCAGCCAAGACCUCAGCGCACAAGAGUUCAUCGAGUCAUAUGCUACAGAACAUUCACUUUCCACUUCAGAAAGUGAAUCUGAAACUUUAGCUCGAAAUGAAUCUCUCUCCAUUGGAGUUGAUUCUCCGGUGCCAACAAAAAAAAAGCGAAAACUGCAUUUCUGGGGAGCCAGAAAGAGUCGGUGGUACAAUAAGCAGUACGCUCUGAUUCGCAAGGAAGUCGCAAAAAAUGUGUCGGAAGCAUUUUCCAGUGCAGAACUUCUCAGACGCUACAACGACGAUAAGAAUAAAAAAAAGCGUGGUUCCAAGCAGAAAUCAUCUUUUCUUGUUAGAAAGAAAAAAGGAAAAGUUUCUUCGAAAGGUAACGGUGCACCCAUGGGUAAAAAUGUUGCUCCACCGCCUGAAGAUGAUCUUCAAAAUAUAAAUAACUUUCCACCGAUAAGAGUAGGAAAUACCACCACUCAAGAAGAGGUGGAAGAGAAUGUCGAGAAUCCUGACUCCUCUGCACCUCGACCAGGGCCCGUCCAGACUUGUUCGAUUGACAGGCGCUGUGAGCAGCCACUUUCGGUUUCAAAGAGGAAUCAUCCCUCAAGGCUAGCAGCCCGACUUUCGAGGCCCUCUAAGUUCCGGAGGAACGUACCGAAAGCCAGCAUUAACCGACCGAUUUUCAAUAAAACUUUCAAAAGUUUCAAAGUUUACUCCAGAGGUAAAUUAAGAAGGAAUGUCUUCAUACUCCAAUCUCCCGAGGGUAUGAUUGAAAAAAAUAUCUCUUUUCGUUUAAAAGGCUCUCAAGUAAGCGCAGCGAUGGAAGCCGAGACCUUGGUUAAAUGGUGUAUGAUCCAUCGUAAAAGGUUGCUCGCUCAGUUCAAAAGUGUUCAUAAAGAAUUGGUGUCUGAAUGCGAUACUCGACUCACCAUCGCUAGAAAUCUCUCGAAAGAAGACGAUUGUUGUGCCGCCAUUUUGGGCCCCAAACAACAUACCUCGUUCACUGAGAGUUAUUUUAAUGAGCUCUCUUACAAGACCGUCCCUUCAGCUCGUGGUCCCCUCAUCCUCGAUGAGGAAGGCGUAGUUCAAAAUGUCUUUCGAUACUGGGAAAAUGCUCGCAAAUCUCAUAAGUGGCCUUGCGAAAGUGAC
rnacentral:lncRNA from 1 species